ACUGGAUGCCCACCAGGGGUAUCCAGUCCUCAGAACUCUGAGCACCACCACACUGGUCACCAGGCUGCCACGCUUGAAAACAGAGGAGAAGGAGAAGGAGAGGGAAGGGGAAACGGAGGAGAGGAGAGAAGAAACAAAACGAGCCAUGCCUGUCUGCCCCACCAGACGAGUCAGGAGUCCGGUCUGGCUGGAGGGGUGCUCUACCUCUCCCUGGUCCCUCCAGGGCCAGCCUUGGCCAUGUGGGUUAAAGAGCCACCAGGACCAGCUGCUGCUCCCUCCUCGGGCACUGGAGUCGUCCUGUGGAGAUGUCUGAAGCAUCGUCUCCUUUUCCUUUGGAACCUGAAGAUGUCAGCAGCCGCGUCCAGCCAUGCUUAUUCUUAAUUCCGCUGUCCUGCUGUGGAGGUCUGUCAUUCCCCAUCUCGUGCCAGGUCUGAGCGUCACUGGUCCCUGCCUCUCACCUCCUGAAGCUUCUUCCUGAACCCUGACUCUCCCAGAUCUCUCCCUGCUUAUCUCCUUCUCAGUUCGAGGGCAGGUUCCUCAAAUUGGCCUGUUCACAAACUCAGUUCCAACAACAUUCAUUUGCUUGGUGCCUCUUUUGGGAGCUGGUUAUAUUUUUUAAUUCCAGGGAUCAUUCUUCCUAACCCUGUGUUCUCGUUUACCAUGCCAUGUCCUCUGAAAUCUCACACAGGAUACGCGCUGGUGUGUGUCUGCUUCCAGAUCUGCUCCGCGUCUGUGGGCUGCGCUGGCCGCAAGCCCCGGGAUGGCUCGUGUUUUGAUGGGAAGGUUUAGUGGCUGAGGUAGGUGACAAGGGCAUUCAGGAGGGGCCAAGCACCAGGUGUCACCUAAGGGCCAGUGCAUUGGCAGCAGCCCUGUGGCCAGGGCUACAACUGUAACUGAGUUUUUGGAGCUGAGAAGGAUAAAAGUGUGCUGACCGCGGCCAUCCCUGCCAGGCUGAGUGGCUUCUGUUCCUGCCCUCAUCACAUGAGGUCCCCACAGGUGUCUGGCUGUUUCCAGAAGGGCCGCGGCAGAGAGGAGCUGGCCAGCUCCAUGGUACCUGGCUCACUGUAGGGGUGAGGUGGGGACAAGUGUCCCCCUUCAAGUUCCACUACAGUCCAGACGUGGCUCCUUGGCUUCAGUGUGGCUGUCACCUUCUGUUUUUGGGUUGAUUUGGAGGUAACGAGGAGAGAUUUUUGAUAAAUGCUAUGGUCUGAAUGUGUCCUUCAAGAGUACAUGCUGAAAAUGUGACCUCCAAGGCACCAGGGGUGGUGGGGUGUUCCGGUCACCAGGACCCACUCCUGACGGAUUCCUGCCACUCAUGAAGGGCUGGGGGGUGCCAGGCCCACUCUCCUGCUCUCUCCCCUCUGCUCUGCUGCCGUGGGAUGCUGCACUCCACAGGUGCUGGCCCUCGAUCCAGGAGCUCCCAGUCUCCAGAACCAUGAGUCAAACAAACUCUGCCCAUUGCU
rnacentral:lncRNA from 1 species